rnacentral:rRNA from 1 species
ACUGAGCUAUAUGUCUACCCUAAACAUACCUGAUCUCAUGUGAUCUCAGAGACUCAGAGGGUUUGUCCAGUUGAGUACUUAGAUAGGAGAAUGCCUAGAAAUACUGAAUGCUGUA